CUGGCAGGGUAGUAUGAUAGAUGACGCUCAGUUAGGUGGCUGGCAAGACUGAAGCUCGGUCAAGAAAAUCAGGCCGGCAAUGAGGAGAAAAGAUGAUGAUUGCCCUCAAGAUCGAUGCUCUGAUACCAUGUAAAGAAUUGAGAUUGGGCAGAAAAGCUUGCGUUUGUUAUUCAAUCCUCUGAUGGCUCUCGAAGAGCUGUGAGCAGCUUGAGUUCCAACUCGGAUUCCUCAAGUGUACAGAAAUAGAAAUCAACCAUCUCUUCUGUCACUUCUCCCAAACUCGGAGGACUCCACUGCCAAAAAUUCAGGCCAAAACACAGAACGCCUUUACUUCUUUUCACAGUCAAAGCACACUUUCCAGGAAAAAGCUAAGUUGUGAAGUGGGAUAAUGUUUCUACCUUUGGCGCGAAAUCCUUGUCCACUGGCCAUGCUCCAACUCCCUUCAGUUUUGCAAGUAUUUUCAUUAGAAUGAAAUAAUAGACAUGGAUAGAUCAUAAAUAUAUGGAUAUUAUUGCAUCCCUCAGAGAAGUCCUUAGAAACCUAUUGAGAGGCAGAGCCAAGUGAUAUUCUACAUUCACGAGCCAAACACCGGUCAGGGGUCUCAAACCUCCCUUCACGAAUCUGAAGGGCAUACACAAUCGAAGACAAUAAUAAUAAUAGGAUCAGCUGCAACAACACUUGAAGAGGACCGAGGGCACUGACUCACGGAUCUUAAGGUAACUUACAAGCUCAGUGGAGAAGCUUCUCUCAGUUUCUUGAGGGUCGUUUUUUACCACACAUUGUAAGAAUCAGCAGCCUCACUUUCCUGAGCAGAGAUGAAAGUUGAAUAAAAUUUAAGGAACAAUAUCAAGACAUUAUUUCCA